rnacentral:rRNA from 1 species
AUUGAACGCUGGCGGCAGGCCUCACACAUGCAAGUCGAACGAGUGGCGGACGGGUGAGUAAUGUCUGGGAACCUGCCCGAUGGAGGGGGAUAACUACUGGACACGGUAGCUAAUACCGCAUACCAUCGGAUGUGCCCAGAUGGGAUUAGCUUGUAGGUGAGGUAACGGCUCACCUAGUCGACGAUCCCUAGCUGGGCUGAGAGGAUGACCAGCCACACUGGAACGGAGACACGGUCCAGACGCCUACGGGAGGCAGCAGUGGGGAAUAUUGGACAAUGGGGGCAAUCCUGAUGCAGCCAUGCCGCGUGUAUGAAGAAGGCCUUCGGGUUGUAAAGUACUUUCAGCGGAGAGGCGUUACCCGCAGAAUAAGCACCGGCUAACUCCGUGCCAGCAGCCGCGGUAAUAC